GUUCGAGCGGGGGAAGGUUGCUUCGGCAACUGACCUAGCGGCGGACGGGUGAGAAAAGAUUAGGAAUCUGCCAUUUAGUGGGGGACAACAUUCCCAAAGGAAUGCUAAUACCGCAUACGUCCUACGGGAGAAAGCAGGGGAUCUUCGGACCUUGCGCUAAAUGAUGAGCCUAAGUCGGAUUAGCUAGUUGGUGGGGUAAAGGCCUACCAAGGCGACGAUCUGUAGCGGGUCUGAGAGGAUGAUCCGCCACACUGGGACUGAGACACGGCCCAGACUCCUACGGGAGGCAGCAGUGGGGAAUAUUGGACAAUGGGCGCAAGCCUGAUCCAGCCAUGCCGCGUGUGUGAAGAAGGCCUUUUGGUUGUAAAGCACUUUAAGCGAGGAGGAGGCUCUCUUAGUUAAUACCUAAGAUGAGUGGACGUUACUCGCAGAAUAAGCACCGGCUAACUCUGUGCCAGCAGCCGCGGUAAUACAGAGGGUGCGAGCGUUAAUCGGAUUUACUGGGCGUUAAAGCGUGCGUAGGCGGCUUUUUAAGUCGGAUGUGAAAUCCCCGAGCUUAACUUGGGAAUUGCAUUCGAUACUGGGAAGCUAGAGUAUGGGAGAGGAUGGGUAGAAUUCCAGGUGUAGCGGUGAAAUGCGUAGAGAUCUGGAGGAAUACCGAUGGCGAAAGGCAGCCAUCUGGGCUAAUACUGACGCUGAGGUACCGAAAGCAUGGGGAGCAAACAGGAUUAGAUACCCUGGUAAGUUCCAUGCCGUAAACGAUGUCUACUAGCCGUUGGGGGCCUUUGAAGGCUUUUGAGGUGCCGCUAACGCGAUAAGUGGACCCCCUGGGGAGUACGGGCGCAAGACUAAAACUCAAAUGAAUUGACGGGGGCCCGCACAAGCGGUGGAGCAUGUGGUUUAAUUCAAUGCAACGCGAAGAACCUUACCUGGCCUUGACAUUCUUAAACUUUCCAGAGAUUUAUUGGUGCCUUCGGGAAUCU
rnacentral:rRNA from 1 species